CGCUUCUCGAUGCCACUUCCGCAACACUUCAGACUCCGCCUCUGCGUCCGCGACGGCCUUCCACUCGAGUCCCAGUUGGAUUUUUACUUGUUGUAGCUCGGCCGUCUUCUCCCCAAGUGAGACAGAGAUCCCCUCGACGGUACCUCUCAAGGCUCGAAGCUCUUCGGUGUCUUGGGCGUUCGUAAGCUGCGCCCUGGUAACCAGCUGCUUCUGAAGACGAACGACCUCGUCCGCCGCCUGCCGAAAUCUCCUCUUGUACUCUUCCCCUUGCCGG
rnacentral:lncRNA from 1 species